rnacentral:rRNA from 1 species
GUCUGACCUGCCCUAUGAUAAAAUUGAUUAAAUGGCCGCGAUAAUUUGAUCGUGCAAAGGUAGCAUAAUAAAUAGUUUUUUAAUUGAGAACUGGAAUGAAAGGUCGAACGAGAAAGUUACUGUCUCAAUUUAAUUUAAAUUAGAAUUUUAUUUUUAAGUAAAAAAGCUUAAAUAAUUUUAAAAGACGAGAAGACCCUAUAGAGUUUUAUAUUUAAUUAUAAUUAAUUUAAUUUUUAGAAUUUAAUUUUAAUUAUUUAUUUUAAGUAUUUGAUUGGGGUGAUUGAAAAAUUUAAUGAACUUUUUUUAAAGAUUUUACAUUGAUAUAUGAUUAAUUGAUCCAUAUUUAUAUGAUUAAAAGAUUAAAUUACCUUAGGGAUAACAGCGUAAUUUUUUUUGAGAGUUCAUAUCGAAAAAAAAGUUUGCGACCUCGAUGU